rnacentral:rRNA from 1 species
UACGUAGGGCGCAAGCGUUGUCCGGAAUUAUUGGGCGUAAAGAGCUCGUAGGCGGUUUGUCGCGUCUGCUGUGAAAACUCGGGGCUCAACCCCGAGCUUGCAGUGGGUACGGGCAGACUAGAGUGCGGUAGGGGAGACUGGAAUUCCUGGUGUAGCGGUGGAAUGCGCAGAUAUCAGGAGGAACACCGGUGGCGAAGGCGGGUCUCUGGGCCGAUACUGACGCUGAGGAGCGAAAGCGUGGGGAGCAAACAGG